UCUAUGCUCUCUCAAAUCACUGGUUUCAGAUCUACAUUUCUAAUAAUCUCUUUCAAUAAGUUCUCCUCUUUCUCUUCAUUUCUUUGAAAUUCACUUUUCAUCUCCUAAAAAUCCAAUGAAUUUUUAAAAAUAUUUGAUUUAUUUCCCCUAUUUUUCAGGAUUCAUCGCUCUCAGAUCUCGGUUCUAUGAUUUCGUUCAACGUCGUUGAACACGAUUCCGGAUACUUUGAAGGUAGUCAGUUUUAUAGAAAGAUAUCAGGAGAGUUAUUCGAUUCAAUUGAUGGUACUGUAUCUUGGUGAAAAUGGAUUUGUUUCUCGACGCUGUACAAUUUUGCUGAGGCUGGAUUUAAUCUCGCGAAGUUUCUCGACGUUGUUAGAAGUCGAACUAUUGUCUCGACAUUAAAUAGCAUCGAGAAUUAGUCACGUGUGCAGCAUGUGUCUUUAACUCUAAAAUUCUACCGCUAGCCCCUGGUCUUCCAGUUUUAGUUUGGUGAAACAAGAAACCGCCGACACCAAAACGCUAAAAAAGAAAAAGAAAAAAGAACACCUCUCGUGGAUCUGUUGCUCGAUCUUGGUCUGCUACCUUCAACCCUCCAUUGAAAUCACAAUUCUCAUAGUAUGGCGGAAGGUUACAAGCUUUCUCACUUUCACCAGGAAGAUGAACUUGAAGAAGGUAUGAGCCUAGUAGAACUUUGGCAAGCUUCUCAUAGGAAGAAGGAUGGAACCUUUAUUGUCGGCACAUUCACUGAAGAGAUAAAAGACAAGUACGAUAAGAAUGCAAAACUGAUUAAGACAAUGAACAAAGCUGUUUUCUCAGGUUUUAGAAUCUGUUUGCAGUGGAGACGUUUCGACGCAACUAGACGCUACACAAACAGCCUUGUGUAUGGCUAACCCUCUGGCCCGUGAUGCGUUUGAAGAUUAUGGUGGUGGAAGAAAGGAAUAUAGGGAUGAUGCAUAGCUCCUUCAACUAUGAAGCCCAUAUACUUGAACUUAUAGGCCUUGAAUGACUUUUGUUUCUAAGAUGCCAUUUUAGAAUAAUAGGGCGAUUGGAAUUGUAAUAUUUAUAGAAGACGUUGUGUUAGUUUUAAGUUUGUGCUUUGGUGAUAAUGUAUAAACUUUGAUGAUAUGUUUAUAACGUAUUAUUAUAUAAAUUAAUAUUAGUACAAA